rnacentral:rRNA from 1 species
ACUCAAAUGAAUUGACGGGGACUUGCACAAGCGGUGGAUCAUGUGGCUUAAUUCGUAGCUAAGCGAAGAACCUUACCGGGGCUAGAAAUCCAACUGCAUACCACCUGAAAGGGAGGUAGCCUUCGAGGGUGUUGGACAGGUGAUGCAUGGUUGUCGUCAGUUCGUGGCUUGAGCUGUUCCCUUCAGUGGGGUAACGAACGCAACCCUCGUUGUCUGUUAUAUUUGUCAGGCGAGACUGCCCCCUCACGGGGGAGGAAGGUGGGGAUGACGCCAAAUCAGCAUGUCCCUUGAUGCCCCGGGCUGCACACGUGAUACAAUGGAUGGUACAGAAGGACGCAAUACCGUAAGGUGGAGCAAAUCCCAAAAACCAUCCCCAGUACGGAUUGAGGUCUGAAACCGACCUCAUGAAGCCGGAAUCGCUAGUAAUCGUGGGUCAGCCAUACCACGGUGAAUACGUUCUCAAGUCUUGUACACACCGCCCGU